GCCUACGGGGGGCAGCAGUAGGGAAUCUUCCACAAUGGGCGAAAGCCUGAUGGAGCAGCGCCGCGUGGGUGAAGAAGGUCUUCGGAUCGUAAAACCCUGUUGUUAGAGAAGAAAGUGCGUGGGAGUAACUGUUCACGUUUCGACGGUAUCUAACCAGAAAGCCACGGCUAACUACGUGCCAGCAGCCGCGGUAAUACGUAGGUGGCAAGCGUUAUCCGGAUUUAUUGGGCGUAAAGGGAACGCAGGCGGUCUUUUAAGUCUGAUGUGAAAGCCUUCGGCUUAACCGGUGUAGUGCAUUGGAAACU
rnacentral:rRNA from 1 species